GCAGGCAGCGGUGGGAAGGAUGGCCAUGAAAAACAGUGAAGUCAGCGUCUUUCAUGAGCUUAGGUCACCCCGGAUCCUCCAGAACCCUGGCGAAGGAAAUCACCAGCCGAUUAAGUGACACAUGCCCAAUCACGUUUCCCAAAUUUAUUCUGCAAAUGCUGUGGCCUCAGCAAUGCCAUUGACAAGGAAGGAGG